UUCGAAGCCUCUGGCUGUUUCUUCAAGCCAGAUUGCAUAACCAGCAGUGAUGGAUCUGCCUGCUUUCUGAAACUCAGGAGCUUUUCCCUCUAUUCUACAUUCAUCUGAGCCACCAGAUGACUACAUGGUGAAUCACAUGUAGUCUACAGAGAGUUGCGCAUCAGCCCUGGACUGUGCCCAUGGCAGAAGGAGAUGCAUUGAGAAGAUUUUGGUUGCAGGGCUUCCUGCAGAGCCCCAGCCAGGAAGUCCUCUGUUUACCAGAAAUGUUUGCUCAGGAGAGAUUACCAUCCAAGCUCCAGGGAAGCUUUUUCAAAUAACCUGGGAUAUUGUCUCCAGAUUGAACUUUUGGGGUGUUGCCCGUCACCAGGUUAUUGCUUCUAUUUAUACAUUUCAUUCUUCUGGCUCCUAGAUAAUAGACAAUAAAGUCUACUGUGCACUAUCUGCUGCCUACAGGUUUCCAUUUGCAGCAUUCUGCUUUUGUUCCUAAGUACCUGGUGUCAGCAUUUUGGCAUGUGUCCCUUUACGAGAGGUGGGCUGAUGGAGGGGAACCAAACCACUGCUUUUGCAGCUAUGGAUUUCUCACUUUGUAUGCCUUCCCUUCAUAUCAGCCUCAAAUUAUUUAUUCAGGCCUCUGCUGAGAUUCUCAAUGGCGGAUUUCUUUUUCCAGAAUGACUCCAGUGUUUUAUAUGAUAGCAAAACCCAACACACAGAGAAACUCUUUUGCUUUCUCACAUAGUGGAUAGUUUGACAGUUGAUAGUUUAUUUCAUUUUUGCUUAUAUAUGCCCACAGAGAGACAUUAACACAAUUGGAGAUCAGUGGAAGAGGGAGGGGAAUCCAUCCUUUUUAUUCCACAGCAUUUUAGGAUAAGUUUGGUUUCCUGGGGGAAAAAACCUUUACAAGUGCUCCACAUGCAUUGAGUCAAUGGGAAGGCAGGAAUGAGGAAAGAUCUGACUCCUCCAUUACAGACUGAAAUUCUCCCCACACAGAGGAAUUUCUGUCAGAGACAAAAGUAAAGAAUAUCUUUCUGAACAUCUGCUUAUUUUUAAUGUUGUUUAAGCUGUUAUUUGGACUAGUUUUAUUCCCUCCAGGGUCGGAAUUCUGCUCUAGCAUCAGCAAAAAAAAUAGAUUGUAAACGCCGUGUGAUGUGUGUUGGCUGGAAGAGCGUGGAUAUAGCAUGUUCCAGUGAGACACCAAACUUCAGAAAUUUUUGCCACUUCUAGGGAAUUUAAUGAGCUUGCGUUGUGAAACUGGCUGAACCACCGAUUGAUAGCCAAGCUCAGAUGAUGUGUAACGGGGAGGAUCAUGCUUUCAAUGUGUAAUUUCUCAUUACUCUU